rnacentral:tRNA from 1 species
AGAUAGCUCAGUUGGUAGAGCAGCGGACUGAAAAUCCGCGUGUCGGUGGUUCGAAUCCGCCUCUGGGCACCA